rnacentral:lncRNA from 1 species
GGAAGAUCCGCCUCUGGGAUGUUAUAAUCUCCCUGGUAUUUAUACAGAAGGCUUCCCCACAGCAAGGUCCCCAGGAAAGGAGUUUCCUUCUGCACUCGGUCCCCUGCACCACCUUCUGCCAAAGCCAUGUGUGAAGAGGAGACAACAGCCUUGGUGUGCGACAAUGGCUCUGGGCUCUGCAAGGCUGGCUUUGCUGGGGACGAUGCGCCUCGCGCAGUCUUCCCCUCCAUUGUGGGACGCCCACGUCACCAGGAAUAGGAUCAGCCUGAUCCUGAAGAAAGCAGACAGACACGUGGCUUACGAAAGGAUUCAGACAGGAUUAGGGCUAAUCUUCUGGGGGCUCAGCGGCUAAUAAGAAGGGCCAGGAAGGCGAGACACAGCAUCUGGGACUGCAUUGAUGGUCCUCCCUCUGGCCAGCCAAGAGUGGCCUAGAUCCCCUGCAGGAGGUGAAUGGGUACGAUGGGAGGCUGGUCAAAAAAAAUGGGCCCAUGGAGAAGCCAG